ACAGCCUUUUACCCUUCUUCUGUUCCUCUGUACAGAGAAAAGACAGGGGACAUGGAGUGGCACGUAUCCACCCCCACCAUGGCCGCUACCGUUGUCGUGUUGGGCAUCCUGUGGUCCUCCUGGUGGAUAAGAACGUCGCGCCCGACCCCGCUGAACCCUGGCCACUCCCUCGUCUCCUUCGUCUCCCACAAUUGUAGCUGCGGCCGUCGUCCUCCCUACCCCGCGAUAAGCCGUCUAGGAGGUUCCCCUCGUCUUCCUCAACCUCUUCCAUGAAGAUCUUGACGAGAGAUGCAUCGAGGCGACACAUCGCUCCCCUUCUUCAGCCUCGGUUCCGUCGGCCCCCACCGCUGUCUCGCUGUUGUCUCGCGCUCCGGCAAGCCCCCAACCCAUCUCGAGCUCGUCGUCGACCUCCCCUUGGGAGUCGAGGAGGGAUCUCUGGGCGUUAAUGCUACAACAUGCUUGUUAAUUAAACUGCUACCCUUUACUCUUCUACAUGCUGCAAGAUGCUUGGAGCUACUUGAAGAUGCUAGUCUUCGAUAGGCUAGGCCUUCCCCUCUAUUCUGGCAUUCUGCAGUUCAGUCCAGAUAUACAUACCUUCCUUUGAUACCAAUGCAUACUUAGUAUAGAUCUGGUGCUUGUGAGUACUUUGAAUGAGUACUCACGGUUGCUUUGCUACCCCUUUUCCCCCUUCUUUCUUCUUUCCGGUUGUUCCAAUCGGAUGGUGGAUCCCAAGAGCCAGAUGCCACCACCGACGUCUACUACUAACCCGGAUAAUGCUUGCUACUACGUGGAGACCGCCGACAACCAGGAGUAGUUUAGGAGGUCCCAGGCAGGAGGCCUUGCCUCUUUGAUUGUUGUUGCUUUUGUGCUAGCCUUCUUAAGGCAAUCUUAUCUAACUUUAUGCCUAUACUCAGAUAUUGUUGCUUCCGGUAACUCUUGUGUACCGAGCUAUGUAUUCGAGCCCUCGAGGCCCCUGGCUUGUAAUGUAAAGCUUGUAUUAUUUCAUUUGUGUCUA